UUAUAAAAAGCCAAUAUGGCGUCAAUGUAACCCGUAAAAUACGCUAAAAACGCUAAGUUUUACAUACGCAAAACUUUUGAUUCAAUGAAUUCCAACAAUUGAAAUCGAUAUUUUUGUAUUUUACUGGUCAAAAUCUAUUGGACGAUAUAAAAAAAGUUUAAUAAUUUUUAGUGCUCCAAAACGAAGUUUAACCUAAGUUUUUAUUAAAUAACGUGGAGAUGGAAAUAGAGAAUUGUGAAGGAAAUAAACAAAAGUUAGACAGUCCAGGAGAUACAUCGGAAUAUUCUGCACCAACAACAACUCAGUUAAUGACUUAUAAGCCUGUGAAAGUAAAUUUGAAAAGAUCAUUUUCUUCGAAAAUGUUAACAGAGAAAAAUGAUAUUAAAAAGGAAGAAAAUGAUGCAAAUACAAAUAAUGAAACAAGUGUUCCAAACAAGGAAAAUCAUGAUACUAGUGAACAAGAUUUAAAAUGUAUUCCAAGAAAACGUCGAUGGGGUACUACAUUAUCUACAGAUACUGCACCUUCAUUUUCAAUUUCUACAGAUUCACUUAAAGCAUUAGUGCCAGGAGCAAGACCAUUGUCGAUAAAUGAAGUUCGUCUUUCAAAAGAUGAUGAUGAAGAUAGAGAUCAUUAUCAGAUUAGUGAAAAGUGGCACAAUUCUAAUGAAGGAGUAAAUGAUAAUAAAUCUGGUGAUGAAAAUAUACAAAAAAAUGGUACAGCAAAGAAAGGAGAUGCAAAAAUAGAUAAUCAUAUAGCGGCAAGACGAAAAAUAUCUAUUGUUAAAGAAGUGCCACAUAUAAAAUCUCCGAGUCCACCUGCUACAAAACCUACAAAUAUACUUUUGAUCAAAAACUUGGUUCGUCCUUUCACUUUAAAUCAAAUUAAAGAGUUACUCUCACGUACUGGUACAAUUGUUGAAAAUGGAUUUUGGAUGGAUAGAAUUAAAUCCAAAUGUUUUGUAGAGUAUGCAAAUGAGGAUCAGGCAUUUGAGACAAGACAAGCAUUACAUGGUAUAUCCUGGCCUGUUUCAAAUCCAAAAAGGCUUCAUGUUGAAUAUGCAACCAAAGAUGAUAUGGAAUUGGCGCGAGAAUUGUCAAAGGAUCAAUCUAUUCCAAGAAAAACAGAACCUCUUGUACCAUCUGAUUCAUGGCAACAAGAUUGGAAUCGUGAAGAAAGGACAAAUACAAAGGUAAUGGUAGUUCGAGAAUGGGAUUUAGGUAAGGAAGAUGGCCAACAGCAUAUAAAAGAGAAAGAACGUGAAAAGAAAGAACAUGAUAAAAAAAGACGGCAGAGGAGUCGGAGUCCAGCGGUGGAAGCACAUUUGCCAGCUCCAGCCCGUAAAUUCAAAAAGAAAGAGGAUGAGCCACCACCAGCUAAACUUUUAGAUGAUCUCUUUAGGAAGACAAAAGCAACGCCAUGCAUAUAUUGGUUACCACUCAUAAAUGAACAGAUAGUUGUGAAAGAAGAAAUGAGAAGGCAACAUAUGGCAGAACAUGCGCGCAGAUUAGAAGAAAUGAGACGCGCAGAGAGAAACAACAGAAACAGUCGUCGCCGUCGUAGUCCGAGAAAAUAGUUCUCUGAUCUACCACUUUCGAUAAACGUACCUUUCCCUUUCUGAUGCAAAAAUUCCGAUUUUGAUCAGUUACAUUUUUAAAAACGAUGUUAUGAAUCACGGAAAGACAAAUGAAUUUUUUCUUUUUACAUUAGACAGACUUGCCGAACAUACUCUUUAAAUUUUAAUUUUCUCAAUCGUUCCACGAUUUGCAGGCUGUUUUACGAUUUAACAUAUGGUGUUAGAAUUUGCGUUUUUAUUCUUCAAUUUUUUUCUUUUUUUUUUUUUUUUUUUUUUUUAAUUCAGAAAACUUUUGUUUCUGUAUCGACUUCGCGUAUUAGUUUCUCUGUUUGAUUUCAUUCGUUCAAUCGCUGAUUUUUGUUCAUUGGUCAGAAACUGUACAAAUUUGUUGCAUGAUCAGGAAACGUCCCGAUCUCCGAUCCAUCGUCCCUGAAAUUUCAGCAUUAAGGGGGUAUUCUGGUAAUCCGGCCAAAAAGAUAAGCAAUAUUCAGGAUUUUUUUUCUCGCUGCUUCAGCCUUGCGCCAUUUACACCAAGAUUCAGGUCCUUCUGCGCAAUAGGAAUGCUGAGGAUUUUCGACAAUCGAAAUUUUAUGAUAGUAAGUCGUUCAUACUGCUUUCCUCAUCUCUUCGAUUUGAGUGUCGACACAUAGUCAAGCUAGUAAUAAAAAAUUCCUCUAUCAAUUUAUUUGUCAACUAUAUUUUUUCGCCAUUGUACUUUUCCACUUUUUCUUUGAUUUAUUCGUCCUUGAUUUGCAGUUGUUUUUGUGUCUUUUUCAACUGAGUAAGUUGUUUUUAAUAUUCGCGCAUUUCUUCAUAUCUAAAACUCUUUCUUCUUAUUAAUGAAAUCAUCUUAAGAUUUCGCAUUUAAUAAUCCUCCAAUGAAAUAAUCAUAUAUUUUUCGUCAUACUUUUUGGUAGAUCCUUCAAAACUUUUAAAAUACCGUCUAUUUUCAUCGUAUCUUCGUGGUUGGCGUCGCACAUUACAUGAUUUCGUAUCAUGCAUUGUUUUAAUAUGCGUCGCUUAUACUAUACGAGGGAAAUCUAUGUUCAAUGUUGAAAUAAUAUUUAUAUUUGAAAAUUCAUUAUAUUUCAUUAUAUUUCGAAAAUAUAGAAAAAUAUUUGAAAGGUAUAAAAUAAUAUUAUAGAAUCAAUUAGAGGUAAAGUUAGGUAUUAUUAAAUAGACCGAAACGAGCCGCUCGACCGCUAGUGUUCAUGCGGCGCGCUUCGGCGCGUUCGUUACAAAAAAUUAUAUUAGUCAAAAUUAUUUUGAAUUUUGCUAUCAAAUUUUCAGAUAACAUUUUUAGAGAUACAUACUUUCGAAAAAUGUAUAAAAAAAAUUGAUUUUUUGAAACCGGAUUACCAGAAUAUCCCCUUAAACCAUACUUCUUACAGGUCGACAUUGACUAUCCAACAGUGCGGCGUAACUGUAGAACAAACAAUAGUGUUUGCAUCGUGUAGGAGUGAUGCAUCACGUUCUACGAUACGUCGUAGUGCGAUAUCGCAAAACGUGCCCUGGGAAUUGGAGGAUAAUCAAACGAAAAACUGUCCACAUAGGGAAAAAAACUUGAAACUUAAUAUUCAUGAUCAUUGAAAAUGUUUGUUUUCUUACAAGAAGACAAAACAAAAUAAAAACAAACAAAAAUGAAAUGAAAUGAAAGUUGAACGAAUUGUUAGAAGCAGCAACAAACAAAAAACCCGAAAUGAUGAUGGCGAGAGACUGUGGUAUUGACUGAUAUGAAGUUAUCUUAAAGCAUCAAUGAGAGUAUUUUCUCUCCCUGGAGUUAUUUCUUUUCUUUGUCGGUAGAAUAGCCUGACUUCCUUGAAUUCUGACAUAUACUACCAUAAAUUUGGUAGUAAAAUGUAAAGUUUUAGUGUUUCUCGUUUUCGCGCAAUAAAUUUGCACAACCAGAAACACAUUUGUAUAUAUAAAGUAUAAUUCAAUAUACCGUGAUAUGACAUGUAAAAUUAUCAAUAAAUGUAAAACACUAUAGGUUAUAUACAAAAAAUACAUUUGCCGCUUACUUUAUACAAUGUCACACCAUAUUUAGAAGAUUUGUCAUUCAUCCUUGAAAUAAGAUCGAAAGAUUUACGAAAAAAAUACACUUUUAAAACAGAAAAUAAAUUUAUUCGUUAUAUUUAUUUUAUUGUUUGUAUUCGAAUUCGUGUGAUUCGAAUGAAUGUAUUUUACUAACAUAUAAUCGGAAAGAAAACCACUUCACAAGGAAAGGAAUUAUAUAACAAAAUAACUCAAGCAUGUGACAAUUAAUGUUUCAACCAGGAAACGAUUGUUUACGUAAACUUAUUCGAUCUUUAUUUAUAUUAACAUCGUUAAUGCUAACAUUGUAAUUGCUUCAAUUUACAAAAAUCGUGAAUUACAAGAUGUGUGCAUGUCAACUAUUAAUUAAAACAUCUCACAAUCAUAAAUAUUAUAAAUAGGAAAAAUAAAACUGAACUGAAAAUUUCAAGUUUAAUGUUUAACUUAACUACCAGUUUGUACACUAUUAUGUCCUUUCUGCAAUUAAACUAAUCUUAACAAUGUUAUGUUCAAAAAACACUUCUUUCGCAUUUAAAAAAAA